UAUUCCAAAUAAUGAUAUUUCCAUGCACCACUCUUAAGCUAUUAAUAGCAUUGUGCAGAUUAUGGAUUUCUGAUUAUU